rnacentral:rRNA from 1 species
UACACACCGCCCGUCACGCCAUGGGAGUUGGCUUUACCUGAAGACGGUGCGCUAACCGCAAGGAGGCAGCCGGCCACGGUAGGGUCAGCGACUGGGGUG